rnacentral:rRNA from 1 species
AGUGAACGCUGGCGGCAGGCCUAACACAUGCAAGUCGAACGGCAGCACAGGGGUAGCAAUACCCUGGGUGGCGAGUGGCGGACGGGUGAGGAAUACGUCGGAAUCUGCCUAUUUGUGGGGGGAUAACGUAGGGAAACUUACGCUAAUACCGCAUACGACCUACGGGUGAAAGCGGAGGACCUUCGGGCUUCGCGCAGAUAGAUGAGCCGACGUCGGAUUAGCUAGUUGGC